rnacentral:lncRNA from 1 species
AUGCGAGCCCAGUAAAAGCUAUCUGUACUUGCUUGGUGGUAUACGGCUGGGAUUAAAUUUAUAUUUAGCUCAGGUACUAUGCGUAAUAGGCUGGUUUCUCCUAGCAUCAAAUAGAAGUCUCGCAAGCUUAGAUGCCUAAAGUCUGUUGAACAACGUUUCAUUUAUCUUUGAUCCGCCUGUGGAUCCUUUACUUUCCGUUUGUAAUACUUUGAUAUUACUUUAU